UUGCAGAUCAAGGGGGAGUUUUUUUGUGAUUUUUGCGGGCAAAAAUCCUUGAUUAUGCUGCAUGUUUUCUUAAAAAAUGCGAUGGAACAUGCAGAAUAUUUAAGCAAUUUUAUGCGAUGAAAGUGCAGGAACUUCCAAAAAUUGCAGGAAUUUGCAAAAAUUGCAGGAACUUGCAAAAACUGCAGUUUGUUGAAAA